rnacentral:lncRNA from 1 species
AUGGAGAGUAGCAUUCUGUUUCCAGGAGAUGGAAACUGGGUUACUGAAAGGAGCUUGAGUGAAUAUGCUGAUGACUCUAUAGUUCAAGGUGUCCUGGAGAGUCAAUUGAAUAGACUUUCAGGUGGUUUGGAGACUCGAAAUAAAAUUUCUUCUCUGGUAGCAGGGAGGUCAUGCUUAGGGAAUGAUUCUAGAAGACCUUGGUCAACAAAUGUGCUACACGGUAAAUUAUCUGGAAAUUGUCCAACAAACACUCAGCCAAGACCCAAGAGUUCACCUGUGUGUUCGUUGAGAGUGAAUACUGAGAUAUCAGAAAACAAGUGCAUUGAUAUAACUAAACAGGACGAGGAUCUUUGGGAGUAUAUUGCUGACCAAGAAGCCCUACUCAUUCUGGAAAAAGAAUUACUAAGUUAUGCAGGUCCUGAAAAACAUUACAACUUAACUUCUGAAGAUGUAACCUCCCCCAGCAGACACUCAGAGAAGAUAUAUAGAAAUCCUACAUAUUUCCAUCAAAACCUGGAGCUAAAAGACGAAAGCAGAGUUGAUACUCUCGGGGACUGGGAUGAAAGCCAAGUGGAUCAUGAAGAAGAAAUUCUGGAGGAUAAGCAACAAGUUCUUGCAUUACAGUGAACAUGCAGAGAACUUAAUGCAAUUUCUGUCUUUAUGUGUCAUACAAAACCAAGAAGCAGAUGAAGAGGGGUCUUAAGUGCUGCUCAAGAUAUUAUUUAUUAAGGAUUAUUUUGUAAAACUGUCAAUAAAAAUUCUUUAAAAUCCCUUGGUUUUUGCUUA